GAUGAACGCUGACAGAAUGCUUAACACAUGCAAGUCAACUGUGGUGGACGGGUGAGUAACGCGUAAAGAACUUGCCUCACAGAUAAGGACAACAUUUGGAAACGAAUGCUAAUACCAGAUACUGUGAUAGAGCUUUGCGUCCCAUUAGCUAGUUGGAGAGGUAACGGCUCACGAAGGCGAUGAUGGGUAGCCGGCCUGAGAGGUUGAUCUGCCAAAAGGGGACGGAGACAAGGCGAUGACGCCGACGGGUGGCAGCAAUGUGGAAUAAUGGACAAUGGACCAAAGUCGGAUCCAGCAAUUCGGUGUGCGGGAUGAAGUUUUCGGAAGGUAAAGUGCUGUCAGUUGGGAAGCGGUACCAACAGAAGAAGUGACGGCUAAAUACGUGCCAGCAGCCGCGGUAAUUC
rnacentral:rRNA from 1 species